GAUCAGGGAACUGGGCGCAGCCUGACCGCAAUGCCGCGUGGGUGAAGAAGGUCUUCGGAUUGUAAAGCCCUUUCGGCGGGGACGAAAGUGACGGUACCCGAAAAAAAAGCCCCGGCUAACUUCUUGCUAACAACCGCGGUAUUACUAAGGGGGCUAGCGUUGCUCGGAAUUACUGGGCGUAAAGGGCGCCUAAGCUACUGUGUUGGUCGGGCGUGAAAUUCCUGGUCUCACCCGGGGGCCUGUCUUGACCUGCGGGGCUGGCUGCGGAAGAGGCUCGCGGAAUUCCUGUGUAGAGGUGAAUUCAAUUAUAUUGGGAAGAACACCGUUGGCGAAGGCGGCGAGCUGACCCGUACCUGACGCUGAGGCGCGACA
rnacentral:rRNA from 1 species